UCCCUGGUGGCUCAGAGGGUAAAGCGUCUGCCUGCAAUGCAGGAGACCCGGGUUUGAUCCCUCGGUCGGGAA
rfam:Ovis aries breed Texel chromosome 12, whole genome shotgun sequence.